rnacentral:rRNA from 1 species
AUUGAACGCUGGCGGCAGGCCUAACACAUGCAAGUCGAGCGGAUGAAGGGAGCUUGCUCCUGGAUUCAGCGGCGGACGGGUGAGUAAUGCCUAGGAAUCUGCCUGGUAGUGGGGGAUAACGUCCGGAAACGGGCGCUAAUACCGCAUACGUCCUGAGGGAGAAAGUGGGGGAUCUUCGGACCUCACGCUAUCAGAUGAGCCUAGGUCGGAUUAGCUAGUUGGUGGGGUAAAGGCCUACCAAGGCGACGAUCCGUAACUGGUCUGAGAGGAUGAUCAGUCAUACGGGAACUGCGACAGGGUCCAGACUCCGACGGUAGGCAGCAGUGGGGAAUAUUGGACAAUGGGCGAAAGCCUGAUCCAGCCAUGCCGCGUGUGUGAAGAAGGUCUUCGGAUUGUAAAGCACUUUAAGUUGGGAGGAAGGGCAGUAAGUUAAUACCUUGCUGUUUUGACGUUACCAACAGAAUAAGCACCGGCUAACUUCGUG